UAAAAACUUCCCUUUGGGCUGGUCUCCUGUAGGCUGAUUUGAGAAAUCUAUAGAAGUAAAAUUCUUUCUGGGGUCUCCAUAGUCCUGGGGCUUCCUAGACAACCCACAGCUAAAAUCAACCCACAGCUGCCUACAAGGCCAAUAGGCAAAUAAGAAUUGAAGAUUUGAUUUUCCCCAUAUAUGCAGCCUGCAGAAGACCCACUUUGAGGUCAGACCAUCUUACAGGCCUCCCAUUGGAUGACCCAAAGAACCAUAGACUCUUGAUGGGAUAUCUAGGACUUUCAUGGAGUUGCAAUGGGCUGUGUUCCUAGAUGUCACAGUACAUGACAGACUGAGGUUCUGUCAUCUCAAUGGAGGAAGCACCCCCUGAGGUGGAGAUCACUCAUGACCUAGAACACAUAGUAAAAACAUACAGGGAUGAAGGGGACCUGAACAUGGCUAAAACACACAUAUUUGUGUGUGCUCAUGAAUAUGUAAAAACAACAAGCCAGCAAAUGAAUGAGGGGAGGAUGAAGGGACAGGAGGGUUCACGAAGGCACUGUCAGCAUCGUGAAAGUGGAAGAAGGUGCCUCGAGAAAAGAAGGAACAGACAUAAUGAGGGCAGAAAAGGCUGUACUCACAGAAGCAGAGAGGAAGGUGCCAGAGGCUGGGGGAGGAGAGGAG
rnacentral:lncRNA from 1 species